rnacentral:rRNA from 1 species
UAGGGCGCAAGCCUGAUCCAGCAACGCCGCGUGGAGGAUGAAGGUCUUCGGAUCGUAAACUCCUGUCAGGUGGGACGAAGGCUGCGGGUGAAUAAUCUGCAGUUUGACGGUACCACCAGAGGAAGCCCCGGCUAACUCCGCGCCAGCAGCCGCGGUAAUACGGAGGGGGCGAGCGUUAUUCGGAAUUAUUGGGCGUAAAGGGCGCGUAGGCGGCUUGACAAGUCAAAGGUGAAAUCCCUCGGCUCAACUGAGGAACUGCCUUUGAAACUGUCUGGCUUGAGGCCGGGAGAGGGUAGCGGAAUUCCCAGUGUAGGGGUGAGAUGCGUAGAUACUGGGAGGAACACCGGUGGCGAAGGCGGCUACCUGGACCGGUUCUGACGCUGAGGCGCGAAAGCGUGGGUAGCAAACAGGAUUAGAUACCCCGGUGGUCCUAGCUGUAAACGGUGGAUACUAGGUGUGGGGGUAUUCGACCCCUCCCGUGCCGUAGUCAACACAUUAAGUAUCCCGCCUGGGAAGUACGGCCGCAAGGUUG